rnacentral:rRNA from 1 species
AGUGAACGCUGGCGGUAGGCCUAACACAUGCAAGUCGAACGGCAGCACAGUAAGAGCUUGCUCUUACGGGUGGCGAGUGGCGGACGGGUGAGGAAUACAUCGGAAUCUACUUUUUCGUGGGGGGUAACGUAGGGAAACUUACGCUAAUACCGCAUACGACCUACGGGUGAAAGCAGGGGAUCUUCGGACCUUGCGCGAUUGAAUGAGCCGAUGUCGGAUUAGCUAGUUGGCGGGGUAAAGGCCCACCAAGGCGACGAUCCGUAGCUGGUCUGAGAGGAUGAUCAGCCCCACUGGAACUGAGACACGGUCCAGACUCCUACGGGACGCAGCAGUGUGGAAUAUUUGACAAUGGGCGCAAGCCGGAUCCAGCCACACCGCGUGAAUGAAGACGUCCUUCGGGUUGUAAAGCCCUUUUGUUGAGAACGAAAAGCAGCAGCUUAAUACCCCGCUGUUCUGACGGUACCCAAAGAAUAAACACCGGCUAACUUCGUG